AGACGUAGCAAUACGUUUGUAAAGCGGCGAACGGGUGAGGAAUACAUGGGUAACCUACCCUCGAGUGGGGAAUAACUAGCCGUAAGGUUAGCUAAUACCGCGUACGCUCCUUGGACUUCGGUUCAGGGAGGAAAGCGAUACCGUGGGUAUCGCGCUCUUGGAUGGGCUCAUGUCCUAUCAGCUUGUUGGUGAGGUAACGGCUCACCAAGGCUUCGACGGGUAGCUGGUCUGAGAGGACGAUCAGCCACACUGGCACUGCGACACGGGCCAGACUCCUACGGGAGGCAGCAGUAAGGAAUAUUGCGCAAUGGGCGAAAGCCUGACGCAGCGACGCCGCGUGGGGGAUGAAGGUCUUCGGA
rnacentral:rRNA from 1 species